rnacentral:lncRNA from 1 species
GUCUUUAACAUUGAGACCCCAUGAGUGAUCUCGUCUUCUAUGGUUAGGACUGUUGGAGCUUUUGCUAAGUUGAUUGAAAGACUUCUUUCUUUGUUGAUUGUAGCAAAACUAUACAAUUUGAAAACAAAAUUAUAAGCUAAAAGUAAUAACAUAAUUAUAUAAUCCUAAAAAUAAAUAAUUUUUGUAUUGAACAUACGCCUCCUUUGCUUCCUUGAUUUCUUCAAUAUUUGCAUUCCACAAAAUGUUGGUAAUAUCGUAAGAAGUUGUAAUUCGAACUUCACCUGCAUGUCAUUUUUUUGUUAGAUAUAGUAUUUUAAUUUCAACUUUGACACUAUAUAAUUCAAACUUUACCUUUGUAAAUUGUUGGGCGGCAAAAUUGAAGGAUAAUACAAAUUGGCAAAUUUGGAUCACCACGAAGAUAAUUGUACAUUUUUUCUGCAUGUUGUUCCCACAAUGUACAUGAUAGAGUCUUUCCCCUGAAAAGUUAUAUUUAGCAAAUGAAUUAAAACUAAUGUCAUUUCUAGAAAAAAAAAUUAAAAUAAAAAGCAUAAUUUAACAAC